rnacentral:lncRNA from 1 species
AUUGGUCACGAUCAAACAUUGUGUGUGGUGAUGGCUCUUCUAACUAACCAGUUGUCCCCUGUAUGGCUACCGGAGAAUGGCUUUGAGGACUCAGCUAGCUUCAUCUCUUAUCCUGUAACUGCUGCAGUGUAAACUUCAGCCUCAUUCUUUCUGGUUGCCCUGUCUGGGUGCCACCUAUUCUGUUCGGAACCAUUUAUCAGCCUUCCGGUUGCUGUGGCAAAAUGACUGACAUGGUAACUUGAAAGGAUGAGACGAAAGGUUUACUGCAGCUUAUGGUUGCAGGGAUAUUAGUCUGAAGUUCUCUGCGAUCAGGCAGAGUCAUGGCAGUGGGAUCAUAGGCAGGGGGCUGCUCACCCCAGGGCAAAGAGCACAGCAUAGUAAACGGAAGAGGACAAACCUGGAUAUACCCCCAAGGAUGCAGCCCCAGCCACUCAUUUCCUCCCAUGCAUCUCCACUUGGCAGAGGUUCUCUGUUCUCCCAGUAAUCUAUUCAAAGUUUGAAAUCAAAGGAUUAUACUACCCACUAGGUUUGAGGCAGUAUGAUCAAAUUGUUUGUGGAAACACUCUCACAGGCUUACCUUUAUAGACCUUGGAGACCUCGGUGUUUCCCACCAGGUUAGCAAUCACGGAGACUCUUACCGGCUUUAAAGGUCCUCAGGCCACAGUGGGCAGAGCUCCAGGACCCAAAAGGUGAAUUUCUCGUCUGCGAGCUGUGAGGGUCCACGUAGAGCAGAGGUGAGAGUGUGCAAAGGAGCAUGUUCCCCUUUGGGCUCCCAAUGUAUAGGAGCGAUCGGUGACUUUGAGGUUAGCCCUGGCGACCUUGGCAAGAUGAGUCUCAAUACUUAAUGAUGGUGCCUUUAUAUGGAAGACAGUCAUGUAAUCUAUACAUUCAGAAACCACUUGUCAUUGCAUAUAAAUAAAAGAAUGUACUCUAAAAAUACCAAAUAAUGGGUCUGAGAAGCUCAGAGUCCAGUGAUACCAUGACUUACAAGCCAUUAAAAGUACAUGCAGAGAGAGUGAGGUAUUGAUAGCAUCAGAACAAUAUAAUACGUCAUCCAAGGCAAAUAGAAACCUCUCGAUGUAGCCAUUUAUCUGGGCCCAUUUGUCUCCUUGCCCUGGAGUGUACAGGCCCAGCCUAUGAUCCCACCAUCAUGACUCAGCCUUAUAACACAGGACUACUGACUAAUAUCCCUGCAACCACAAGCUACAGUAAACCUUUUAUUUCUCUAUUUAAUGCAAAAGUGCCUGUUUUUAGAAUUAAUAUUUCUUGGAAACCUCUGUAUAUAGCUGAUGUAUAUGGUUUAGGAGAUUAAACAUAGUCCUAAAUAUCCACUUAAGUUCAAAUUUCUGGUUGUUUGGAAUAUUCAAGUACAAAAUAUAACUAUAAAAUCAUUGAUUUUAUCAAAUUCAGACUUGAAAGCAAAGUACAGACGGAUCUACUAUCUCCGGAGUAGACCCUAUAGGCAGUGCGCUAUAGAGAUGAGGUAACUAUGACACAUGACCAACAUCAUCAUUGAAGUACCACAGCACUAUGUAGCCAAGCUGGGGUGGAGCCCACUGUGGUUUCAGCCCUGUGAUGGUCAGAGCUGUCAACUUUCAAAGAAGGGCCUUUGGACAUGUAGGGAUGUUCUGAUUGCAGCAGAGAAGAUCCACCUGCUAUGGGAUGCGGCACCAUUCCCUGGUCAGAGGAUCUUGGGCUAUGUAUGAGUCAAAAAAGCCAACUGAGAGCCUUAGUGUGCAUGCAUUCAUUGUUCUUUCUUCCUGACUCUGGGAAUAAUGUGACCAAAUCCCAUCAUCUGCUGCUGCUGUGACUUCACUGUCACAAUGGACAAUAACCUGUAACUGUGAGCUAAAACAACCCUUUCUCCCUUACAUUACUUUUGUCAGGAUAUUUUUAUCACAGGCACGGGAAACAAAAGACAUGCCCCAAGACUACCACAUCACAGUGUUGGACAGAACCCAAAGAUCCCGUCUCAGGGACUUUGCUGAAAAACUUCUUUUCCUGUCUCAACAUUCGUUCCCCCUUAAGUGUUGGACAACCCUCUCAUGAUAGAGACACUGCACAUUAACAACUCAGUAUUGAGUUUCCUGGCCUUUUUUUUUUUUAAACUGUAUUGUUUGGCUUUUUCUUUCCUCACACUCCCUGGCUCGGUGCCUAUGUUUACCGAAAUCAUGCACGUUCUCCUAUCUUUCUCUGUUUCCCUAUCUUUCUCUGUUUCCCUAAAAGUUUGAUUUUAUUUGGAGACUGGAAGAGAGAAGCCCUUCCUAGAAUGACUGGGAUACCUGCUGGAACAGGUUUGCUGGCAUCAUUUUGAUGAACGGUACAGGUACACUUUGUGAGUUUUGUAGCGCAGAGCUAGUUACUGACAUUUACAGCUGGUGAGAACGUCUGAGCGAUCCUUCCAGAGUACCCACAGAUGUUACCUAUCACGUGGAAUUUUUAUAUAUUCAAGUGACAGCUCUCAAAACAAGCCCUACUCUUCCGUUUUGUUAUUUUAUAAAACCGUGCUUCCUUUCACUACAGAGAGUUUCAUAUUUCUGGUAGUGUUGAAGUAUCAUCAUAUAAACAUUGUGACUUGCAGUUAUUUUUAAUAACUAGUUCCCAAUUUGAGGAGUUUUGAAAUAUUUAAAAUUUUAACGUUUGAAAUAUUUAAAUACAGUAAUAAUAUUCAUUUCAUAUUUCAGCAUAUUCCCCCAAACCUAAUACUUAACAUAUAUUUAAAUAUAGGAUGAGUUAAGCUUUCUGAGAUUUGGUAAGUAUUUAAAUUGCAACCAUUAGGCAAUUCCCAACAUUGCAAACAGAUGUUGGAGAAAUGCUGUCCUUUAUCUCACAAACUUCCUGCAGACAAGAUGUGCUUGUUAACAAACUGUUAGAAAAAUCAUUUGAGUUAAGCUAUUGUGAAGAAGAAGAAGAAGAAGAAGAAGAAGAAGAAG